CACACCGCUGGUGUACCAGUUGUCCUGCCAAGGGCAUAGCUGGGUAGCUAUGUGUGGAAGGGAUAAGUGCUGAAAGCAUCUAAGCAUGAAGCCCCCCUCAAGAUGAGAUUUCCCAUAGUGUUAAACUAGUAAGAUCCCUCGAAGAUGACGAGGUUGAUAGGUCAGAGGUGGAAGCAUGGUGACAUGUGCAGCUGACUGAUACUAAUCGAUCGAGGACUUAACCAAAUU
rnacentral:rRNA from 1 species